CCGUACAACCCAGAGUACCAGGACGAGUCGGUGCUGUGGACCGAGAGCAAGGACGUCGGCCAUGGCUUCCGCUGCAUCCGCAUGGUCAACAACAUCUACCUCAACUUGGACGCCUUCCACGGCGACAAGUCCCACGGCGGCGUGCACGACGGCACCACCGUCGUGCUCUGGGAGUGGUGCAAGGGCGACAACCAGUGCUGGAAGAUCCUCCCCUGGGGCCCCGAGGCGUACGCGCCGCCGCCGCCGCCAGCAUACGGGCACCAGGCAUACCCGCCGCCGCCGCCCAACCGUGAACCUGGCCACGGCUACCACCCCGCACCUGCGUUCUACCCGCCGCAGCCGCCACCGAGCCACGAUGAGCCGGGCUACGGCUACCGUCCACCGCCGGUCGGACCACCCGGUGCAGGGUACGGCAACCGGCUGCCCCGCGCGCUGGCGUCGGAGCCCACCGUGCGCAUCCUGUGCAGGGCCGACGAGGCGUACAGCCUCACCGUCAGGAACGGCGCCGUCUGCCUUGCACCAACCAAUCCCAGGGAUGACUUCCAGGUUAUUUCCGUUGCAUACAAUUCCAUCUCAAAUUCUUAACACCGAUAGAUCAACUCCAUCGUGAUCUUGUCUAACUAUUCUAAUCAUGUUCAAAUCCGAUUUGCAGCACUGGGUGAAGGACAUGAGGCACAGCACGAGCAUCAAGGACGAGGAAGGCUACCCGGCGUUCGCGCUGGUGAACAAGGCCACCGGGGAAGCCAUCAAGCACUCCCUCGGACAGAGCCACCCUGUAUGUACAUACAUACAUACAUACAUCUUCUUCAUUAGAUAAUUAAUUCAGUCUGUUUCAUAUAUGUCAAAAAAUCAGUCAACGUAGUGGUUGGAGCGUCGUAGUAGUAGCAAUCAACGCUUACGAUUUCUGGAAUGGCGUCACAUGAUGUGAAUUUGUCGCAAAACCACUACUACACUAGUAGUUGAUGAUCUGACACGUUCGUCUGCACGCAGGUUAGGCUGGUGCCAUACAACCCGGAGUACCUGGACGAGUCGGUGCUGUGGACGGAGAGCAAGGACGUCGGCCAUGGCUUCCGCUGCGUCCGCAUGGUGAACAACAUCUACCUCAACUUUGACGCCUUCCAUGGCGACAAGGACCACGGCGGCGUCCACGACGGCACCACCGUCGUGCUCUGGGAGUGGUGUAAGGGCGACAACCAGCGCU
rnacentral:lncRNA from 1 species